AUUGAACGCUGGCGGCAUGCCUAACACAUGCAAGUCGAACGGUAACAGGCUAAAGCAAUCCCUUCGGGGUGAGCGGUGCGCUGACGAGUGGCGGACGGGUGAGUAAUGCGUAGGAAUCUACCUUCAAGUGGGGGAUAGCCCGGAGAAAUCCGGAUUAAUACCGCAUGUUCUCUACGGAGAAAAGCGGGCCUCUGAUUCAAGCUCGCGCUUGGGGAUGAGCCUACGUCGGAUUAGCUAGUUGGUAGGGUAAAGGCCUACCAAGGCGACGAUCCGUAGCUGGUUUGAGAGGAUGACCAGCCACACUGGGACUGAGACACGGCCCAGACUCCUACGGGAGGCAGCAGUGGGGAAUAUUGGACAAUGGGCGCAAGCCUGAUCCAGCAAUGCCGCGUGUGUGAAGAAGGCCUGCGGGUUGUAAAGC
rnacentral:rRNA from 1 species